UUUAACUGAAGAGUUUGAUCAUGGCUCAGAUUGAACGCUGGCGGCAGGCUUAACACAUGCAAGUCGAGCGGGGGAAGGUAGCUUGCUACUGGACCUAGCGGCGGACGGGUGAGUAAUGCUUAGGAAUCUGCCUAUUAGUGGGGACAACAUCGAUCUGUAGCGGGUCUGAGAGGAUGAUCCGCCACACUGGGACUGAGACACGGCCCAGACUCCUACGGGAGGCAGCAGUGGGGAAUAUUGGACAAUGGGGGGAACCCUGAUCCAGCCAUGCCGCGUGUGUGAAGAAGGCCUUAUGGUUGUAAAGCACUUUAAGCGAGGAGGAGGCUACUUUAGUUAAUACCUAGAGAUAGUGGACGUUACUCGCAGAAUAAGCACCGGCUAACUCUGUGCCAGCAGCCGCGGUAAUACAGAGGGUGCGAGCGUUAAUCGGAUUUACUGGGCGUAAAGCGUGCGUAGGCGGCUUAUUAAGUCGGAUGUGAAAUCCCCGAGCUUAACUUGGGAAUUGCAUUCGAUACUGGUGAGCUAGAGUAUGGGAGAGGAUGGUAGAAUUCCAGGUGUAGCGGUGAAAUGCGUAGAGAUCUGGAGGAAUACCGAUGGCGAAGGCAGCCAUCUGGCCUAAUACUGACGCUGAGGUACGAAAGCAUGGGGAGCAAACAGGAUUAGAUACCCUGGUAGUCCAUGCCGUAAACGAUGUCUACUAGCCGUUGGGGCCUUUGAGGCUUUAGUGGCGCAGCUAACGCGAUAAGUAGACCGCCUGGGGAGUACGGUCGCAAGACUAAAACUCAAAUGAAUUGACGGGGGCCCGCACAAGCGGUGGAGCAUGUGGUUUAAUUCGAUGCAACGCGAAGAACCUUACCUGGCCUUGACAUACUAGAAACUUUCCAGAGAUGGAUUGGUGCCUUCGGGAAUCUAGAUACAGGUGCUGCAUGGCUGUCGUCAGCUCGUGUCGUGAGAUGUUGGGUUAAGUCCCGCAACGAGCGCAACCCUUUUCCUUACUUGCCAGCAUUUCGGAUGGGAACUUUAAGGAUACUGCCAGUGACAAACUGGAGGAAGGCGGGGACGACGUCAAGUCAUCAUGGCCCUUACGGCCAGGGCUACACACGCUACAAUGGUCGGUACAAAGGGUUGCUACACAGCGAUGUGAUGCUAAUUUACCACGGUGUGGCCGAUGACUGGGGUGAAGUCGUAACAAGGUAGCCGUAGGGGAACCUGCGGCUGGAUCACCUCCUUAA
rnacentral:rRNA from 1 species